GUUUCGACUAACAUAAUUAUUUAUAUAAUUCAUAAUGAUUAAAAAGUUCAUGUAUAAAAACUAUAUAUAUCAUUUAUUUAAAAACUACGAUUAUUUAUAUUUUGGCAAAUUUUUAACUUUACUAUAAUUUUAUCACAGCCUUUAAGACUCAUAGAGCGAGAAUAGGUACAACGGAGAUAUGUUAUGAAAUAUAAAGGAAUAAUUUUUUUUUUUUUUUUGGGUUAAUUGGCC